ACGGCCCGGUUUGGCACCUCGAUGUCGGCUCAUCCCAUCCUGGGGCUGGAGAAGGUCCCAAGGGUCCGGCUGUUCGCCGGUUAAAGGGGUACGUGAGCUGGGUUUAGAACGUCGCGAGACAGUUCGGUCCCUAUCUGCUGCGGGCGCAGGAUACCUGAGGGGAGCUGUCCCUAGUACGAGAGGACCGGGAUGGACGGACCUCUGGUGUGCCGGUUGUUCCGUCAGGAGCACACGCCGGGUAGCCAUGUCCGGAAGGGAUAAGCGCUGAAGGCAUCUAAGCGCGAAGCCCACCCCAAGAUUAGGUAUCCCUCUCCCGACUUUCGUCGGGAGGAUAAGGCACCUCGGAGACUACGAGGUUGAUAGGCCCCAGGUGUAAGCUCCGUGAGGAGUUUAGCCGAGGGGUACUAAGGUGCCGAACGACUUGACCAC
rnacentral:ncRNA from 1 species